rnacentral:rRNA from 1 species
AGAUGGCGACCGGCGCACGGUGAGUAACACGUAUCCAACCUGCCGAUAACUCGGGGAUAGCCUUUCGAAAGAAAGAUUAAUACCCGAUGGUAUAAUCAGACCGCAUGGUCUUGUUAUUAAAGAAUUUCGGUUUAUCGAUGGGGAUGCGUUCCAUUAGGCAGUUGGUGAGGUAACGGCUCACCAAACCUUCGAUGGAUAGGGGUUCUGAGAGGAAGGUCCCCCACAUUGGAACUGAGACACGGUCCAA